GAGUGCGGGCGGCGGCGGUGCCCGGACCGGGGGGGCGGGGGCCAGGCCUUCCCACGUCUGUUAAACCCGCCAAGCUAGGCCAGGCCUUCCUCACCGCCAAGUCCCCUGGUCCCGAGUAAAGGCUCUAGAGGGGCGCGGGCCAGGCCUCGGGCCGCGCUGGGCGCAGACCCGCCACCGCAGAGUCGGGAACUGGCGUGGGGCGGGGGCCCGCGUGGCGAACAGUGUUCCCUGGGAUCUGGGUCACGUCUCCCAGCAUCUGGCUGCAUCGAAGGAGAGCUUGUCCUCGAGCUGCAGCAGUAGAGACUGAGAAAACAGACCUCAGAGAACCAGGACCAGUCCUGCUGUUGGGGCAGGGUGACCCCAUCAGUGACCUACAACCCCUCUGUGACCCCACAACUCCCUCUCACCAUGGCAUUUGUAUUUGAUGCCGACAGGCAGCAUGUAAUCCAUUUCUCCUCUUGACCUCUUACCUGGGAUUCCAUGGCCACACAACCCUGUGAUUCCAUGUCUCCCCAAUUCCAGGACCCCCCCUGGCCCCAUGACUCCUGACCUUCUAAGUCACCUCCCUGGACCUUAACCCCUGUGACUCUUCUUCCCAUCAUCCCCUUAACUCUGGCCCUGGCUCCCCUUGGGGGUCUUGUUGGUCUGGGCCUCCCCAGGAAGAUGUGGGGGAGGCUCUGGCCCCUCCUCCUGAGCUUCCUCACAGCAACUGCAGUCCCUGGACCUUCGCUGCGGAGACCAUCCAGAGAACUAGAUGCCACCCCGCGGAUGACCAUCCCCUACGAAGAGCUCUCCGGGACCCAGCACUUCAAGGGCCGAGCCCAGAACUACUCAACGCUGCUGUUGGAGGAGGCCUCAGCAAGGCUGCUGGUGGGAGCCCGAGGCGCCCUGUUCUCUCUCAAUGCCCACAACAUAGGAGACGGGACUCACAAAGAGAUUCACUGGGAGGCCUCCCCAGAGAUGCAAAGCAAAUGUCAUCAAAAAGGGAAAAACAACCAGACCGAGUGCUUCAACCACGUGCGUUUCCUGCAGCGCCUCAAUGCCACUCACCUCUAUGCGUGCGGGACUCACGCCUUCCAGCCUCUCUGUGCAGCCAUUGAUGCUGAGGCCUUCACCUUGCCAACCAGCUUUGAGGAGGGGAAGGAGAAGUGUCCUUAUGACCCAGCCCGUGGCUUCACAGGCCUCAUCAUUGAUGGAGGCCUCUACACAGCUACUCGGUAUGAAUUCAGGAGCAUCCCUGACAUCCGCCGGAGCCGCCACCCGCACUCCCUGAGGACUGAGGAGGCACCAAUGCACUGGCUCAAUGAUGCUGAGUUUGUGUUCUCUGUCCUGGUGCGGGAGAGCAAGGCCAGUGCAGCGGGUGACGACGACAAGGUUUACUACUUCUUCACAGAGCGUGCUGCUGAGGAGGGCUCUGGAAGCUUUGCUCAGAGCCGCAGCAGCCACCGUGUGGCCCGUGUGGCCCGUGUGUGCAAGGGAGACCUGGGAGGGAAGAAGAUCCUGCAGAAGAAGUGGACCUCCUUCUUAAAGGCGCGUCUCAUCUGCCACAUUCCACAGUAUGAGACACUACGUGGUGUCUGCAGUCUGGAAGCUGACACCUCGGCCCGCACGCACUUCUAUGCGGCCUUCACGCUGACCACACAGUGGAAGACCCUGGAGGCCUCAGCCAUCUGCCGCUAUGACCUGGCCGAGGUGCAGGCUGUCUUCGCAGGCCCCUACAUGGAAUACCAGGAUGGUGUCCGACGCUGGGGCCGCUACGAGGGAGGGGUGCCGGAGCCCCGGCCUGGCUCGUGCAUUACAGAUUCAUUGCGCAGCCGAGGCUACAACUCAUCCCAGGACUUGCCAUCUCUGGUCCUGGACUUUGUGAAGUUACACCCACUGAUGGCUCGGCCCGUGGUACCCACACGCGGACGGCCCCUGCUGCUCAAGCGCAGUGUGCGCUACACACACCUCACGGGGACACCUGUCACCACGCCAGCUGGACCCACCUAUGACUUGCUCUUUCUGGGCACAGCUGAUGGCUGGAUCCACAAGGCAGUGGUCCUGGGCUCUGGGAUGCACAUUAUUGAAGAGACACAGGUGUUCAAGGAACCCCAGUCUGUGGAGAACCUGGUCAUCUCUCCGACACAGCAUAGCCUCUACGUGGGGGCCCCUAGUGGAGUCAUCCAGCUAUCACUGUCCAGCUGCUCCCGCUACCGCUCCUGCUACGACUGCAUCCUGGCCCGGGACCCCUACUGUGGCUGGGACCCCGGCACCCAUACCUGCGUGGUGACCACAACCGGAGCCAACAGGUCCCAGGGUAGCAGGACAGCACUGAUACAAGACAUAGAGAGAGGAAACCGAGGCUGUGAGGGCAACAGGGACACAGGGCCACCACCACCACUGAAGACCCGUUCUGUGCUCCGGGGUGAUGAUGUCCUACUGCCCUGUGACCAGCCAUCCAACCUGGCCCGGGCCUUGUGGAUGGUCAAUGGGAGCAUGGGCCUGAGUGAUGGGCAGGAUGGCUACCGCGUGGGUGUGGAUGGGCUGCUGGUAACAGACACACAGCCUGAGCACAGUGGCAACUACGGCUGCUAUGCUGAAGAGAAUGGCCUCCGCACCCUGCUGGCCUCCUACAGCCUCACAGUGCGGCCAGCCACUCCUGCCCCUGCUCCACAGGCCCCUGCAAUGCCUGGGGCACAACUGGCGCCUGAUAUGCGGCUGCUCUAUGUGUUAGCCAUUGCUACACUUGGUGGCCUCUGCCUUAUCCUGGCUUCCUCCCUCUUCUACGUUGCCUGUCUUCGGAGAGGUGGACGAGGACACCGACAGAAAUACUCACUGGGUCGGGCCGGCCGGGCAGGGGGCUCUGCUGUGCAGCUGCAGACAGUGUCAGGCCAGUGUUCCGGAGAGGAAGAUGGUGAUGAUGGGGAGGGGGCUGGGGGCCUGGAGGGUGGCUGCCUCCAGAUCAUCCCCGGGGAGGGGGCCCCAGCCCCGCCACCCCCGCCACCCCCACCACCACCGGCUGAGCUGACCAACGGGCUGGUGGCACUGCCCAGCCGGCUGCGCAGGAUGAAUGGCAAUAGCUACGUGCUCCUGAGGCAGAGCAACAAUGGAGUGCCGGCAGGGCCCUGCUCCUUCACAGAGGAGCUCAGCCGCAUCCUGGAGAAGAGGAAGCACACACAGCUUGUGGAGCACCUGGAUGAGAGCUCUGUCUGAGCCCAGCCUCCCAGGACAAAUGUUCUUCCAAACCAGCCUGUCUGCCCCAGGCUGGGCCGCUGCCUCCCCAGCACAGACACCCUACCUUCAUCCCUACAACUCCAGGCCCUUCUCCCAACUUUUUGAUGUCCCUGUAGGGCUGGCCAGAGUCAGGCCCAGCCAAAGCCCCCUUCUCAGUCUCCAUGGACCCAUCUGUGAGCAGCCCAGGCCAACCGGUGCUCCUCAGAGGCAGGGCUCUGCAGGUCCAGAUGGCCUCAAUGUCACCACCCUCUGCAUGGCCCUAUGUGCUGGAUGGUCCUGAAAACAGACAAGACCUCUGCCAGCCACCAGAACCACCUGAGCCCUGUGUACAUUCACGUGUGCACAUGGAAGAAUGUCUAUCAGCUGGGCUGCAGGGCCCCCACGCCCACCUCCUGGUGCAUUCUUGUUUCAUCCCUUCUGGACUUUGGGUACCCUCCCAAUUUGCCACAUCCCAUCCUACCUAGUCCUCUCCUGUAGUCCCAGCCCCAUGUGAUGACCUCUUUGGCAAGAGCUUGGGAACAGGCCAGCCUGGGGAGGUAAGACUACUGCAUCAUUCACUCUUCUUCCUUAAUGUGCAGCCCUUGUAAGUCAGCCUCCUUACCCCCUUAGUCACUCUCAAGAGUGACAGAGACAGUUCCAGGCAUGGUGUUCCUCGUGAACAUGUGCUUACAUUUCCACUCACGUGCACCUUCUGAGCCUCCCCUUGCUGCGCUGGACCUGUGUCUGUUGGGUUUGAUCCAUGAACAUUUCAGAGGGAGAGCUCUCUCCCAUUUAGCUGUCCUCACAGACACUUCCUUAGGAUGGGUGACCAACACUGCACUCAAUGAGCCAGCCUCCCUUUUGUGGACCAAACAUUUGCUACCCCUAGACCAGAGCAGGGGGAGAAGAGAUCUGAUGUCUCACCUGGCACAUGAAGCCCAUUCUUGGAACUAUGCAAAGGAUAAGAGGCUGGGAGUUUGGAUGCUUGGCUCCCACCCCUGUCCUACCUCACCGGGGCACUUUCAGGGUCCAGGGGCCUCUGAAGUCUCCAGGCCCAUAUGGGACAAUCAAAACCUGACUGAGCUCCCCCAUUCCCCUUGGGUGAGGGUGACUGUUAUUUUUGUAGCUGAGAACGUGGAGUCCCACGGGAUUUUUACUGCCCUUCACCCAGCCUCUCCCCCCUCUACCCCACAAUGAAUGUAUUUAUUGUAAACCGGCUACCAUUCUUUAGGAAUGCCCCCGCUCACGACCCAGGGAGGCGGGAGAGGCAUGUGACAGGGUGGGGAGGCUGGGUUCAGUUCCUCCCCCCACUGUUGGUUAAUAAAUACCCUCCUUCCCCACA